rnacentral:lncRNA from 1 species
CAAAUUCCUAAUUUAAUUUUUCCCUAAUUCCCUAACUUAAUUUUUUCUUUCCCAUCCGUCUAUUGCUGGUCGUCUGUCUGGUCAUCCGUCUGCUGCAUCGCCAUCGGUAGUGCAUUUGCCAUCAACCUCUGUCUCCUUCAUCGACGCUGCUUCGUCCCUCGCAAAAGGAUUUUUGAUCGUGGUAAAAGAAAACCCUAAGUUUCCUGAAAGUUAGAACUCGCUUGAGUUGUAUCAUUUUUCUCAUUCACAUUAUCACUUUUAGGUUUUUUAUUUAUUUAUUUUAUUCUUAAUGAACACAACAUGCAGGUCUAUUACAGUAUGUUUUAACUUCGUAUAGUGCUUGUUAAAGCAUAAAGCUAUCUUUUGCAUGUAUAGCCCAUUCAAUAUAUUGUUAAUAUUACCUUGUUAUUUGUCAUGAUAUUGUUUUUUUUUUAUGUUUCAUCACGCUAUCAAUAUUCAUGAAACCUGCACCUGGUGUUCAUAGUGUUACUCAAUUAAGUGGGUUCUGUUUAAAGUGAUAGAAGGAUCUGUUUCCUUCUAUCUGGAAAAUAAUUCUAGGAUGGAUUCUCUUACACUUGAAUGCUAUUCCAGUGCAAUUGGAGCUCUUUUAUCCAAUCAAUUCAUAGAAAUUUCCAGUAAUUUGCUUGGUUAACUCUCUUCAUAAAGUAUUUUGUUGAUAACUAGUGCAGUUUAUAGUCCGGUUAAAUAUUGUCAUCCAAAUGAUUGUCAAGUGCACCUUCUAUUUUCAAUCUUCAAUAUUCAAUAUGCAUCAUCAGAUAUAGUAUCACACUAAAAAUAUAUUAGGCAUGAAUGAAGACAAAGAAGGGAUCUUUAAUAGCGUUACCAGUUUUCUAAGCUCAAAUUUUACCAUUCAUUUUUGCUUUGUUUAUUGUUGGUAAAGAACAAAAUUGUUAUGGAAGUGUGUCAUAAUUUUUAAAGUAGCGAAGUUAGGCUCCUUCUGGUUGGUGCUUUUUCUAUUUUACUGUUUUCUAUAUAAAGUUAAAAGCAAAAUAUUGUAUAUUUUAUUUUACUUUAGAGUUUAUUUUUAUACAAGAAAAGUAAUGACAUGAACAACAUUGUUCAUACUUAAUCAUUCUUUUAUCUCAAAUUGUUUAAGAGUGGGAAUUUCAUUCUCGAAACAGUAGAAUGUCUUGUUAGCAACAACAACUAAGAACAUUUACUCUUAACAAAAAUAAGUUGGCUUUUGUUAUUUGUCAUGUGUGUUUCUUGUGAAGCUCCCCCACAUUUUAAUAUAUGCUUUUAAAUCUACUCUGUUAUAAAAUCGUCUGGGGGGGUCUUGUUUAACAACAUUCAUGUAUGCAGGAGUGCUCAUCUUGUACACUUAUUGCUGAAAACUUUGCAAUGGCAUCGCCUCAGAUUUUGGCAGGACCAGGAUUCAACCAACUUUUGGUACUUAUUGCAGUUUCUUUAGAAUAUUCAAUUGUUUUCUUCCUUUUUUAUCUUUAUGAUUUUAUAUAUUCUAUCAUUAACUAAUAUUUUCCUAUUUAUUUUUCAAAUUAAUCAAGAGUGAUACUUAUGGAAGCAACUAGCUCAUAACAAUUAAAGCAUUCACUUGCACUUUGCAAGCAAUUGAAUCAAAGGUUGCCUAUUCUUUGUGGUUAUCAUAUUUAGCAGUAAGUAUUUAAUGUCAGAGUUACUUUUUGAUAAAACCAAAACUUAAAGGUCAAAAUAGUAAAUAAAAAAUUAAAAGCUAAAUUGCUGGAACUAAAAAUUUUCAAUGAAUUAUAACAUUUCGAGCUGAUAUGGAAUUAAAUUAUUUGAUCGCUAUAACAACUUAGGCCUGCUGGACAGUAUAAGAAAAUCACAUUAAGUUGAAAUUAUUGUAUAAGAACUUAAAGAAAAAUGAUUGACAAUACAAUCUUUGCAAUGUUCGUAUUCGCAAUAAUUACAUUGCAAUGUUAGGGGCGAAGUGCUUACUUUAUAAUUAUGCUCCUACUGUGUGAUAGUUAUAAUAGUGAAGAAUAGUAUGUGUUAAUGUUAUAGGGAUAUGAUUUUAUUCCAAAAUUCUUGGAGUGGUGGUUUGAUUGGAUAAAUUAAUGCGUCUGUUCAAUAUUUUUUAUGCUACUUUGUUGUUGUUUUUCUUCUUCCGCAAAAGUUGCCAAAAAAUAAAUGCAACUAAGAAAAGCAAAACCAUUUCACUCAUGAUCCGACCUUGUUGACUAAGGCUAGUAUAGUUGAGUUUUUACAUCAGCAAGUUCUCUCAACAAUAUUUAGAUCUGGCGUAUGCUGAACUGUGAUAAAGAAACGAUUUGAGAAUCCUUGACCAUUCUUGAUAUAGAGCACGAUUUUGCAGGGCAAUUACUGAGCUCCAAAAUUUCUAUUUCUUUCUCUUUUUUGGUCAGACCGGAUUAUUUUUUACAUAUAUUGCUUUCAUAUAUCAUUUAAUAGUUUAUAGUUUUUGUGUGAUUUUUAGUUAUUUUUCUUUGCUUAGUUUUAGUAGCUAUUUAUUUAUCCUUCUCCAAGUUGCCUUCUUUGAAUGUUGAAUUGUGGAUCAUUUUGUUUAGACUUUAUUUUUAGUUUAUCUUUUACAUUCGAUUCAUUGUUAAUUUUUGAGAGAGAAAUUUGUAUAUAAGUUUGUUGCUCAAAGGCACUAAAGGUAUCAUUGUCAAAUUUUAUUAUUAUUAUCAUUGUGGAUGGGAUUUCAGCUUAAUCAAAAUAAUUAAGUAAAAGCGGAUUUUGAGUUCUUAGAUUUAAGUCUUAUUAGGGUGUAUUCAAAUUUUCUUCAAUGAUCGAACUUGAAAUCAAUAUCAAUUAAGAACUUGAUUAUUAUUAUUUAAAGUAUUUUCUCUGCCUUUAUUAGUUCAGUUAAAGUAUUUUCCUGAACCUGGUCUUGUGUAGAUUCUGAAGUUGAAAUAUUUUUAAAUUUUGCCACUUGGUAUGCAUGGAUCAAUUUUAUACAAUAGUAUAUUAUCUUUAUCAAAACUUGUUUUAUGCAAUUGAUUUUCUUUUAGAGAUGAUGUUGACUGUGGUUUGAAUGUGGCAUAUGCAUCCCAAGUUAAUAGUUGAAAAGAGUUCAUAUCUAAGUGCGGCAUCUCAGGUACAUGUGCAAGACUUAAUUCCACUAUGCAUUCACCAAUUUGCAAUUUUGCAUAUGCAUCUAACUGCUUGGGAUUGAAUAAAUUUAAAUAACAUGAAUUAAUAUAUAUUAAUGUCAAUUUAUCUUAUCAUUUAUUUAUUAUGUUUUUUUAUUGAAACAGUGAAUUGGAUCCAUACAAAAGAAGUAUUCGAUAGGCUCAUUUGAAUUGCCUAAUCAAACAACUCCAUUUUAAGCUUUCAUUAAUUGCAUUUGUAAGUACCUCUUCUUACAUGUUUUAAUUUAAUUGAAUUAAAAUUUGAAAAUGCU